UACAUGGGGUGCAAACGUUGCUCGGAAUUAUUGGGCGUAAAGCGCACGUAGGCGGUUUGUUAAGUCGGAUGUGAAAUCCCUCGGCUCAACUGAGGAAGUGCAUCCGAAACUGGCAGGCUUGAGUACUAAAGAGGGUCGCGGAAUUCCCGGUGUAGAGGUGAAAUUCGUAGAUAUGGGGAGGAACACCGGUGGCGAAGGCGGCCACCUGGACGGUAGCUGACGCUGAGACGCGAAAGCGUGGGGAGCAAACAGG
rnacentral:rRNA from 1 species